GAGCUCACCAGCGGCAUGGCGACUUGUCCGCUCUGUAAACCCCAUCCGGUGCAAGAUUGAUAGGGGAGUAUAUGUGGCGGCCCGUCACGCUCCCGGGUAAUCGCAUGAGCCCCCAGGCAACUGCGGGCCUAGACAGAUGGUCGUCCAAGACAGAACUCGGCUUACAGACAGUACUCAUCA
rnacentral:RNase_P_RNA from 1 species